GGUCCACAGCCUCUGCGAGGUUGUCCACGUACCCAUCAGCCUUCACUUCUGGAUGGUGCUCGUCACUGGGCCUGGAGAGGAUGGUGGAGGCACACAUGGCCCCUCCUGACUGUGCCCUCAACCUGGACACCUCCCCAAACCUGUCUCCCAUUGGGAGCCUGCUCAGCUUUGUGGCACAGUGCCAGCGGCCCAGCGCCCUCGGGUCUCCAGCACAGGCAUCUCACCUUUGAUGGUGGGAACGUGAGUGUACGCUGCUCUGGGCUCCCCGGGGGCUCACCCUGCAUCCCUGGCAUGGCCUAAUGCCUGGUGGGAGGAGCCUAGGACAUGUGCACUGUGGGGACUGCUGAGGGAGAGCCCCGGAGCUCCUGCCUGCCCUACCUUGAGGCCACGUCCACCGGACAGAGGGGGCACUGGCUGCUGGGUAAGCUGCCCUCUGGCUGGGAUUCUGGGGGCAGAAACCUCCCCAAAGCCUUCAACCACUCCCCAGGCAUCUCCCGAGGUCUCACUUAUGCUGAGGACUGAUUCCAUGAGGCAGCACAGAAGUCUCUGUGGGCUGAGUCCUGAAGGCAGGUGGGGGCUACUGGUAGACACAUGUGUGGGAGAGGAGGGCCCCAGCCACAGGAAGAGCUCAGGUGAGUUAAUGGGGACAUCCUAGAGCCUUUUUUUUUUUUUUUGAGACCAAGUGUCACCCUUGUCCAGGCUGGAGUACAGUGGUGCGGUCUUGGCUCACUGCAACCUCCACCUCCUGGAUUCAAGCGAUUCUCCUGCCUCAGCUCGGGAGUAGCUGGGACUACAGGCUACUUUUGUACUUUUAGUAGAGACAGGGUUUCACCAUGUUGGCCAGGCUGGUCUUGAACUCCUGAUCUCAAGUGACUCCCAAAGUGCUGAGAUUACAGGAGAGAGCCACCACACGCAGCCUGUACCCCAGUUUUGACAGUCAUUUGAGGAAGUGGCACCUCAUCCUAGGGGCUGUAAGCCAGAAGACCCCUCCCCACAGCCUUGCAUCCACAGAGGGGCUGCUGGAGCUUGGCAGGAAAUGGGGACCUGCCCGUCUGCAAACCUACCACUGCCGAGGGAAGUGUUCUCGGAUCACCCCAUGGCCUGGCCCAAGCUCCCUGAGAAGCAGGGAAACCACAGCCUCCCAGCUGUGUGCCCUGCCUUGGAAGCUGCCACCCUGGUCUAAGAGGACAUGCUUGAAGUUGGUUCUCACAACAUCUAAAAGUUGUGUUGUCCCUUUCAAAGCGUUUGCUUUCUGCAAAGGGCUUUCUUUACCCCAAAAUGACUGCCAUGAGCAGGGGUGCUUUUUCUUUUAAGGGUUCUCAGUCCAGUGGCCUGGAGGCUACCUCCUGCACUCAGGGACUGCUGAGGUUGUGGACCUGGAUGGGGGCACAGGGAGGGGAGGGCAGUGUGGGCUCCUCUGUGACUGGGGGGGUACACCUUUUGGCUCUUGUCCAGGUCCCAAGGGAACCCUGUCCCCUGCGCCCCUCCAGUGCCCCCACUUGCUGGGCCACCCGCUUAUACGGGGCUGCGGCCACUUUCCCUCCUACUGUCUCUGGGCACAGCACUCAGGCCUCACGUCCCUCGCUUCCUUACACCCUCCAAGGAAGAAAUGGCCACCGCCAUCUUGAACAGGUGAGGAAACAGCUCAGAAAGGUUCAGAGACUGGCUGAAGGUCACACGGUGGGGAGAGCAGAGCUGGGAUCUGACCGAGUUCUACUCCCAGCCCUGGUUCUUUCGAGAGCUUCCACCAUGGCUGGACCUUCCAGUUCCUUCCAGCAAAGGGUGGCUGACAGCACCCACUCCAAGCAGAGGCACUGACAAAUGCCAGAACCAGUGGGUGUUGCUCUACUGCUCCUGAAUGAACACACACCAAACUAAGAGUCUUGGGGACCAAACAAGCGGACGAGUGUGUGGUGCCCUCACCCAAACUCCCACCCAUCCCCUCACCCCCACCCCAUCCUCACCCACAGCCCCAUCUGCACCCUCACCCUGUCCCACACCCCAGUCCCACUUGUACCUCACCCUCACCUGAAACUUCACCCUUACCCAAACCUUCACCCCCACCGUCACCUGUGCCUUCACCUGCGCCUUCGCCCCCACCCCCACCCCAUCUGUACCUGCACCCUUGACUGCACCCACAACCCCUCCACAUCCUCACCCACACCCUCACCUGUACCCCCACCCUCAGCACCCUCACCCACAACAGCUCCAUCAGCACCUGCACCCACUCCCAAACCUGCUCCCUCACCCGAACCCUUGCCCACUCUAGCACCCUCACCCACACCUUCACCCUCACUCCCACCCUUCCCUGCACCUCUCCCGCUUCAUCAGAACCCCGGGCAAGAAGAGCUCAUGUCAGUCUCGGGCUUUAGAGGCCUCUCGUUCUGCUCAUGCCAUUCUGUGUGUUCUGUGAUGGCACAGUGUGUCCACGCUUUAGGAAAGGUGGCACUGAAGAUGGGCAUGAUGCUGCAUCUGCUGAAAUCUGUUCUGGGCACUGUCACAAGGUCUUCUGCGGUAUGGGUCACUUUGGAAAACUGCAUGCUAAUAUCCUCUAGCAACCUGCAGUCCCACUCCUAGGUAUGUACUCAGCAGAAAUGCAUCUGCGCAUUCACCAAAGGCACAUGCUAGAAUGUUCCACACAGCUUUAGUUGCAAUAGCAGAAGUCAAACACUGGACAAAUGCCCGCCAGUGGGAGGAUGGGAAAACAGAUGGUGGCAGAAUCGCACACUGGAACGCUCCGCAGUGGCUCCGCCUGGCGUGAGCUCCCGCUGCAUGACAACGUGGGAGCCCGUGGGAGCCCCAGACCUGAAGAGCAACCAAAGCCACGUGAGGAGCACACAAGGCAUGGCCGAUUCAGAGGGCUCCGGAGCUGGCAAAGGCAGGCCAGUGACAGGGUGAGAUGGUGGUUUCCUCACGGAAUGGUGAAUGGGGUGCCAGGAACAUUCUAGAUCUUGACUGGGGUGGGGCUAACAUCCUGCUCUUCACUUCUAGAGCACUUUACUAAUGUUAUUUCUCAAAGAUUUAAUUAAAAAGCCACAUAUGGGCCGGGGGUGGUAGGUAGCUCACGCCUGUAAUCCUACUACCUUGGGAGGCUAAGGCAGGAAGAUUGCUUGAGCCCAGGAGGUCGACACCAGCCUGGGCAACAUGGUGAAACCCCAUCUCUACAAAAAAUACAAAAAUUAGUCAGGUGUAGCAGUCGCCUGUAAUCCCAGCUAUUCAGGAGGCUGAGGUGGGAGGAUUGCCUGAGCUUGGGAGGCUGAAGCUGUGGUGAGCUGUGAUCAUACCACUGCACUCCAGCCUGGGUGACAGAGUGAGACCUGUCUCAGAAAAAAAAAAAAAGCCGCACAUGAUGCUCACAGAUGCUGCCAAGAGGGCCAAUCCUACCGGUGGCCUGUUUUUACAUUUUUUAAGGGACGUAAAAAGAAGAGAAUAAUACUCAAAAGAGACCAAACGGAAGCCUGCAGAGCCUGCAGAGGUACCUCUUGGAGGACAGAUGCCAUGAGGGGAAGCACUUCUUCCCUCGGCAGCUCUACCUCUGAGACUGUGCUGGCCCUGGCUGAGGGUAGGUGGGCAAGAGGGCAGGGGGGCAGGAGGGCAGGAGGGGCCCCCUGACUGAGACAGAGACAGCGCCAGAUCAGCCCCCUGGCAAAACACCUCUCGGCCUCAGUUUCUUCAUCUGUGCCUUGAGCCCCCUACCAGCCACGUGGCCUCAGGCAACUUCCGUAGGCCCCUGUGCCUUGGUGUCCCCACCCCUACACUGAGGUCAUAAUAGCAUGCGCCAUGGGCUCCUGUCAGGAGGGCAGGAACUCGUGGCAAGGACAGGUUGGUUGGUGCGGGCAUGGGCGCUGUUGUGGCUAAAAUCGGGAACUCAGCAAUGCUGUCUGGGGAAUGCGCCUUGGGCUGGGGCUGGGUGGGCCAGGGAGGUGGUUUGUGAUUGGCCUUGAGCCUUCCCCUGGGCACACAGGCUGGGUGGUGGGGACAGGCAGGCAGGCAGGCGGAUGGACACACCCUGGUGUGUGGGGUACAGCGAGGACAGAGUGAGCCCACCACAGGCACUGGAGUUGGGGGGAGGUCAGGAAGGCUCCAAGCAGGAUUCUAGGGGAUGUCCCAACAGCCUGGAGUCUAGGGAGGGUGCCUGCAGGCUCGCUCCUGCACCACGGCUCUGCCCCCUCUCGCCCUCUGCACCUGUGGCGCCAUGCCUCCCUGGGCUCACCUCUGCCUGGCCUGUGUGCAUGGCCUGGGCUCCCCCUGGUGUCUGGGAAGAUGAGCUCGGAAGCCUGCUCGCUGCCACCGUGUGUGCCCAGCCACACUCACAAGGAGUCCAGGGCUGAGGCCUCACUGGUACCAGUUCUCUCAGCCAGUUCCCAUCUGAUUCCCAACUUCUCUCCUCAUGGCGGUGAGAGGUCUGGGCUCCUUGUUGCCCAAAGCGGAACAGAUUUUUCCAGCAAACACUGCCCACAAUUCAUCAUCUCAGCCCCCUGGGGACUGGCCCCCAGGACCCCCUCGGGCACCUCCUGAGCCAGGCUUACUGUCCAGGCAAAAGAAACCAGCCCCGAGAGGGAACAAGAGUCCUCCCCACAGAUGAUGAGGCUUUGUAAUGAGAAUCCAACCAGCCCCACUCCGUGCACGUACCUAGCCGAAUGGCGUCUGUGGCUAAUUAUGUUUAAUUACAUGUCAUUUAAAUUCAAGAAUCCACUAAAAGAAAGGAUUGCAUUAGCACCCGACCAGUGUUUGCCCACACGCAGCAGAAAUCGUGGACUUUUAUGUCAUUAAGACGUGACGCGGCUGUGGGCUGCGGCUCCCAGGGAGUUGGAGUAGACGGGAGGGGACCGUUUCUGCCCGGCUGGCCCCAAGCCCCUGAAGCCGCUCUGCCUGGUCCAACGGCCUGCGCAGGAGUCGUCCCUGCCCCACACUGGCCAGUGCCCUGUGACCUACGGGCCUCAGAGAUGCCAUGGUACAAAAGCUGAACCAAGAAACCCAGCAAAGGUGAGCCCUUGGUAGUGGGGACAGAGCUGGAGGAGGAGGAAGAGAAGACAGGAACACGGCCACACACGGAGGGAGGGAGGGAGGGAGGGCAGGGACAGGAGGGACUACAAGACAGGCAGAAACAGGGAAAGAGAAAAGAAACAGAAAAGGAGGGUGGAGAGGGCAGGCGGGUAGAGACAGACACGGAGGGAGGGGACAGGCCCGGGACACAGGAACAGAGACCACACCAUGUGCAGGGCACAGGUCUUCACCAGGCAGGGAGGCGUUGCUCGGGCUGGGGCUGCCCCGGGGUUCUGAGUCCAGGCCACGUGGGCCUGCAUAAGCCCCUCUGCCCUUCCCUGGCUUACGGGCCCUGGCUGAGGGCUCCCUGUGGGGGUCCCAGCACUGCUCCUCCUCUGCCCCAGGCCCAGCCCAGGCCCUCACCUAGGUGAGCACCCAGUGAACUGUCCCCAGUCAACUUCGUGGCCCAGGGCAGGUCUCUUUACCUCCCUGAGCCUCGGCUUCCUCAUCUAUAAGGUGGCAGGGGGCCUCGCUCCAGGGGCCACUCAGAUGAAACAGAUGAAACGGGGCGAGACUGAACACGAACCUGGCAUUUCCCCUGCACCUGGGGACUCUGCAGCCCACACUGGCACUGGCUCCUGCCCCCAUCCCACCUCCACCCUCUGCCCUCCAGGCUUCACAGGCCAGUUCCACACUCACAGUUCUCAUCACUGCUGGGAAGGAAAGAAAAGGGCCUGGAGUCACCGCACUGAUGGGAGAGGGGGCGGGCAGAACUGAGUGGGGACACUUCCAGAAACGGACAUGAAAGCGCGCACCACUCCCAUCCAUCGUCCUUGCUGCUGUCCUCCUGAGAAUGGCGUGGAGACACCAGGCCUUUGCAGGGCGGCUUCCUCUCCAAGCCAGAGUGCCCGGCCCUCAGGGCCUGGCUGGGAGAUGGAGGCAGUGGGAGAUAUCCCCAAGUGCCUGCAGAGUGGCCGUGGGCUCUCUCCUGUCCUGGGUGCGGCCUCCCUCGGGUUGCAUUUCGGUCUCUGGCUGAGGACCUGCUUCUCGUGUGGGGCAUCCUCCAGGUACCUCCCCUGUCCUUGCGCAGCACCCUGCAGGUGGGUCCUAUUGUCUGAUUUGGAGGUGGAAGUGGAGAGACACGGCAGUGAAGUGUGUGGGCAGAAUGGCCAGGAGGCCGGCCUGGAGCUAGCAUGGCUUCCUCAGGCCCCACAGGGUGACCUGGGCCCCUUGGGGACAGGAGGUCUGCUAAACCCUGUUCCUUUCCCUUUCCUCCUCCCCCUCCACCGGCUUGUCCAUCCAGCCUGGCCCCCUCUUGUCUCUUCUGCAGAGUAGCUUCCCCAGAUGCUCACCUGCUCCUGCCUCCCCCGUAAACCGCUGUGGCUCCCUACUGUCUACGUCGUAGCCCAGUUCCUCAGCAUGGCAGGCAAGUCCAUCCUGCCUGGGCCUUACCUGCGGAUCUCUCUUCCCAUGCCAGCCUCUCAGUGCCUGGGCCGCCGCUCCACAGAUGUCCCAGCUCUCCCUGCCACUGCCCAUGCUAUACCCUAGAAUGCUCUCUUGAAACCUGCUCCACAUGCAAACUCCUACUCAUGCUUUAAGACCCUACUUGUCCCCGUCUCCAAUCUAUGUUCCUUCCACUGGGUGAGCUGCUGUCUCUUCUGAGCAUGCAGAAUGUGCCCCCCACCCCACCCCGUGCCACGCCACCACAGCUGGGUGCUGCUCUGCCGCUUCACCUGCAGGUGAUUGUGCUGACUUCACUUCCUGGAGGGAUAGGCCAGGUUUCCUGCCCUCGGUGCCGCCCGCCCUCCCCAGGCGUGGGCCAGAGCAGGCACCCAGGAAGUCUCCACCAAAUGAAUGAACAAAGGCCCUCAGCUGGGCCGGGCAGUGCCCAUCAUCAGUGAUUCCUCCCUCUCAUGCCCUGUGAGUUAAAUGCAGGGAAUGAGUGAGUGACAGGCAGAAAACAAGGCGGUUCUGUGUCUGACUAGCUUCACGGGGACAGUCUCAAUCGAAGGAAAUGGUGGCCAGACCCCAGCAAACAAGCCUCAUGAGGGUGGUCUCCCUGCCGCUACCUCCAGGGCACAUGCCUCCUGGGCAACACUGACCAAGGGGAGAUGGCGGCCUCUCCCAGAGGGGCUCUUGAGGGUCCUGCCCUGCCUGGGGCUCCCAGGGUGUGGCCUGUCCACCCCCUCCCACCCUGCAGGGUCACGGGCAGGGGCAGGGUGGGGAAGAGGCUCUCACAACUGGAGGCCGAAACAGCUGCCUGCCCAUGGAGGGCCAUGUUCCCCAUCCCCAGUUGCUUUGGAAAGGCAGUAGCUGAGAGCCAGGUGCUGGGGGCGGCUGCCCCGUGAAUUCAGGGAUCUGAGCAUUGGCAUCAGAGGGUGAUGUCAGCUCAGCUGUGCUGACAGACUUGCAGAACAAAGAGGCCACUGAUUCAUGAGGUGGAGGUGGCAAGGCCGGGCAUGGGGCAGCCUCCAUCAGAACCCCAGGAGCCCAAGAUCCCUGGGGCCUGGGGGGUUGUUUCUAGAAGGGUGUUCACCAGAGCCUGGCCCUGGCAAGUGCUGGGAGGAUGUGUCUGGGAGGCCUGCCUCCACCUGCACACCUCAGCUUCUCUGAAGGCUGAUUGUCAGAUGCCUGCAGGAGCGCAGCACUGUGCCCACGGGGUUCCCUGCUGUCCACAUGCUGGCUCAGCAUGGCCACCUUCAGGACAGCAGCUUGCUGGGGCCCGGUGAUGGGGGAAGAAAAACCCACAUGCUGCCCAUGACCUGGCCUGAGCUGGGCUCCUGGCAGAUGCCCAAGGAUCAGUGACUUCCUUACAGGGUGGUGGGGUGGGGGCGUGGGGGGUUGUGGGGUGGACAUGGCCACGGAUCUCAGGCAGGUUGCUCUGACCCCUCCAUUCCCUGGGCUAACACUGGGCCUAGGUUCUGGAAGUGCUUCGGGGGGUGUGACAUGUCCAGAUCCAGGUACCUCUAGAAAGGCGCCGUGUCCUGCUGCUUAAAAAGAAACCCGAGCCAGGAGCUCCUUCCCAUGGAGCCUGUGCAUCCAGCCAAGGCCUCUGGCCCAAGAGGGACACAGGACUCUGACCUGGUGGCUGCUUGCAGAGAUCACAUGGCGCCUGAGCCAGCACUCUAGUCCCAGGCCUGGGCCUCAGCAGGUGCUGGGGACACAGGCUCCAGCCUCAGCUGCCUUGCCUCACUCAGGGACUGCUCAGCCUCAGGCCUGUGUGCCCCCAAGCCGGCUCUGCCCACAGGCCUGGGGACUGCUGUGAGUCAGCCUGGAGCCCCGGAGCCCAGCCUGGGGACCCUCUAGCCCAGGGUACCUCCUGCCACGAAGGCCAGCUGGGUCCAGGCGGGAAGGGCAGUCUGGAGGGACCGGAGAGUGGGGCCACAGGCCAGUCCCACGGCGAGGACCAAAGGGAGGCUCCCAUCCUGGAGACCUGCCCUCCCCUUGUCUCCCCACCCCCCGCUCACACAUGCGGGAGCUUCCUGGGCUACCUUAAAGCCACUUGGCAGAAAAACAUCAAAAUAAAAACCCAGGCCUAAAGGAGUCCUUGCCCUGGGCCUCUCUGGGGCCCUCAGCCCUCUGGCCAGGAACAGGGAUGGGGACACACUUCCCCGACUGGGCCCUCUCUUGGAGGUGCCACGCUCCCUUUCCCACUGGCCCAGCCGAAAGCAAAGCAGUGGCCGGCUUGGGGGAACCACGUGCUGGUCCCCCAUCUAUCUGGCCAUCUCUUCCUCUGUAACCAGGAGGGGUGGGGUGGGAGGAGGUGACCCGUCUCCCAGAGCCCCUACCCAUAGCAUCUGUGUGUGACUGGGAAAGUUUUGCAUCCUGGCUGAGCCUGCCCAGCCCAAACCACCCAUGCCCGCCUUCCCCCCACCUAGGGUGAGCCAGACACCCACAGAGGCUGGGCCUGAGGGCACUGCAGAUGUUUGGCCAGGCUGCAGCCCCCAGGUGGCGCUUCGUACAAAGACAGCCAGGGCAAUGGUGAGAGGCCUGAAUUCCCCAACUCUGUCCCUCCCCAGCCUGGUCCCAGCCCCAGUGCCCCUCCCAGGGGCUGCAGCUGGCCACGCCCGCCCUGCCCUGCCUGUCCAGGAGGCCUGUCAAGGAUGUCUCAGAGCUAAGAGUGAGGUGGGGUCCUGUGCCCCCAGCCGAAAGACACACCUUCCCUGUGUGCACGUGUGUGGGCGGGUGCAACCCAGAGAUAGGAGAGGGCCGCACUGUCUCCUGCCCUCGGCCUUGGGUCCCUAUAGUUUCCUGGUGGUUUGACCCCCACAGUGUGGAUCUGUGAAGAGCAGGGGUGGGGGCAGGGCUGGGCUAGCUGAACCACAAUUUUCUUCCAUUGUGAGGGCAGGGCUGCCUAACUGAACCCCCUUUCCUUCCAGUGGGUGGUACUUAACUAGUCAGUACAAGAGUCUCUCCUUGUAGAAGGAGGCACUCACUGGGCUCUGAGCCCUGGUGGGUAAACUGAGGCACAGAAGGGCCUUGCCCAAGGUCUCACCCAUCCCCGAGAGCCUAUUUCACUGGAACUAGGCCUUGCCUGCCACCUGCAACCCAGAGCUCUCACCAGCCAGGCCCUGGGGUACAGGUGAGACUGCUCUAGCUAGCAGACGCAUGGCCACAUCAUUAGUGAUACCACAAUCGGCCCACACCUCUGCAGCAGGCCAGCUGUGGGCGGCAUCUCCACGUGCUCUGCACAGCACACCGUGGGGUGCGUACUGUGAUCCGCUUCUCUGAGAUAAGGAGACAGACCCCAGAGAGGAAGGGGUCACAGCCAGAGGCAGCAAAGCUGGGGUUUCAACCCAGUUGGUCUCCUUCCCACAAGAAUGGAAAUCUGGGCUCACAUUAGUGAUUCAUCCCUGGGCACAUGGACAUAGCCUGCAUCUGGGGGUCUCUGAUAGGCUGGUUGGCUCUGGCCAGACCUGGAGGCCUGUGGGCAGGGGUCUCCCCUCCCAGCCACCCCCAGAUGGAGCCAGGGUGCUAAGAAGAGGCCGUGGAGGGACAGCCUGCGUGGAGGCCGACGGGGACCUAGAGAAGAGGAAAGGUGCAUGCUGGGAGUGCACAUGGGGCUGGCAGCGCAUAGCCUCCCCAUGGCUGGUGCUCUGCAUGGGGCCACCCAGAUGCCUGCGUUCCUUGGGAUCUGCUGCCUUAUGGUCAACAGGACCCGGGGGCCAGGGCUGAGGCAAGGGUGUGUGCCAGCCAGCCAGAGGGCAGGGGGGCCUGGGCAAGGCUUUAAGCUCCCAAGCUGGAGCCUGGCGGGGAAGGGCUUUUGCUGUGAACCUUGGCACCCGCCAGCCCCUGUCCACAGGGAGGAAACGGGGCUUAUUUACAGCUGGGUUUAGCCAGGUGGCACCCUGUCAACCAGAACUGACACCAUGGCGCCAGCUAUUUCCUGCACGGUCCUCACUGCCCCAGUGACUGAGGCCGAGAGCAGACGUGGGAUGCAGUGAGAGGGACUGGUGGUGAUGCUUGGCUGCCCACUAGUGUAUGGUGGUCUCCGGAGACUCCCUCACAUGGCAAAUGUGGUCCUGUGAAUCCCCGACCCUGGCUGGAGUGUGGGGCAAGUGCUACCACCCACCUGCCUUCACCUGAUUCACGUACACAUAAGGCCCCGGUCAAGCGCACAAAACCAGAGCUUUUCAAAACCAAAAGCUGGAAAUCUAACUUCUGGAAAAAAUCUGAAAGACCCCAGUAUGGGUGGACAAACCGUGGGCAGCGGUGUGCCGCAGGGUGUGAUGUGGCAGCUGUCCCCUUGGAAGGGGCAAGGCGUGCCCCGCUGCCACGCUCCCCGCCAUUCUCUAGUGUCUCUCCAUUCCCACAGCAGGCAUGCGUCACUCUAGUGCACAUCCCCCUGCCCUGAGCUGUCUCGGAGUCUGCUGCACGGCCCUAAAGCUCUGGCUACCUGAGACUCAUUCCCCAAGAGCAAGUCACCUCCUUGUCUUCCCUGAAGCCUUCCUUCAACCCUCACCUCCUCAGUUAGGUGCCCAUUCUGCACUCCAUGGCAACUGUGUGGAUGCCAUCAUAGCACUCGUCAAUCUCUAGAAUUGUUUGGUUACCUGCGUGCUGCCCACUCCACAGAGAUCCCUGAAAUCAGGGGCAUUCCUUUGGUGGCCUCAUGGCCUUGGCUCGUACUGAGCUGUCAGCCAACUACCUGAGUUGACAAGCAGGCAGCCUCCUUCCUCCUAACCACUGGGGACUGUGGGUCAUCGCCCAGCAUCAGCUGCACGGCCCUAAAGCUCUGGCUACCUGAGACUCAUUCCCCAAGAGCAAGUCACCUCCUUGUCUUCCCUGAAGCCUUCCUUCAACCCUCACCUCCUCAGUUAGGUGCCCAUUCUGCACUCCAUGGCAACUCUGUGAGCCCCGGCCCUCCUAGAAAUAUGGGCUGGGGGUAGACAGCCCAUGAGUGGAGCGGUGAUGGGCAGACAGGCAGGCCCCUAGGGCUCAAGGCCUUAGCAACCUGGCCUGACUUCACCCUUCUGGUCCUCCCUAGAGCCCAGCUCCAGCACAAGGGGCCACAUGUACUUCACCUCCUUGGGGGAGGCCCCACUGCUUAAGACCCUGGGCACCUAGGCUGCAGUACUGAUACAGAGAACUGCCUUCUGGAGACUAAAUCCUUGGAUGGAGCACCCUCUCCCACAACCAGACUGAGAGGUGUGAGCAUGCUGGCCACCCCACCCAGGCCAACGCCCAGAUCGGGCCAGCCCUGUUUCUGGCCAGUGAAGCUGAGCCCUAUGUGGCAAGCCCCCCACCCUGCCUGGCCGCCUACAGCCCUCUGUGCUUUGGCGUAGCGGGUACCAGUGCUCCGGGGCAGGGGCCUAGGAAGAGCUGAAGGCGCCAAUAAUGGAAACAAAAGCUCACAGCAGCCGGGGUCCCGGAGGCCUGUCGGGGAACCCAUCACCCCAAGGGGCCCCACUAGCAACCGGGCCAGACCCAGAUUCCCUAAAGUGGCCCACAGGGGGCCCUGGAUUGGCCCCUGCUUACACAUCAGCUGCCCCUCUCCCCGACCCCAGCACUCACCUGCCCCUGCCUCACCUGGUGCCUUUCUCAGCCGCCUCCUCCGCCUGGUACACCCUCUCACCAGCCUCCCUCCAGGAGCCCCAACUCAGAGAUCCCUGCCCCGUGGUCUCCAGGACCUGUCCUACCCCCUGAAGAAACACACACUAAAUGAACGAAGACCUGGAGGGUCUCUGGGACACAGGCCUGGGGGAUCCAGUUGGAACUUCCAGAAUGGGGGCUGGCAGGGAGGAGCACCCCCAGAGUGGGUGGCUCUGUCCACAGAGCAUUACACCUGGUUCAGGGCCACAUUGUGGAUGCAGCUCCUGGGCACCCCAAGUCAAGCCCCAAGCAGCUGGCCGUCACCUCCCCCAGGAUGCCCACAGGAUGUCCAGACAGCAAAAGUGGCUUCUCUUUUUCUCCUUUUUUGUUUAUAGGAAGCUUUGAAAGCCAGGCCUCCCUAAUUCCAAUGACUCGAGGACUCGGGCUCCCACAGCCUGGCUGCUCCACCUGCACACCAGGAGGCGGGGCUGGCGGAGGGGCCUGGGCUUCGGCCAUGGGAAGGGCUGGCCCUGACCUCUGUGUGACCCUGGCCAAAUAGCCACUCAGAGCCUCCCUUCUCUCAUCUUGAAAGCUGGAAAGAACCCAUCCUAGGGCUACAGAGGAGAUUCACCAAAAUUAUACAGGGGUUGGCCACGGCAGGUGCUCGCCGGGGUGGUGCCUGGACAGGUGGAUGGGAAUGGACAAAUGGAUGGUCAGAAGGAUGAACGGAUGGGCAGGGAUGGAUGGAUGGGUGGGUGGGUGGACAAGUGGACAGAUGGACUGAUGGAUGGAUGGGGACAGACAGAGAAGGGUGGAUGGCAGGCCCUGCAUCAGUGGGGAAAGGUGAACAGAGACAGAUAGAUGGACAGACGGAUGGACAGGUGGGUGGGCUGCUCCCAGCAGGUCCUCAUGCUGGCCCUGGCCUCAUCAGAACUCACAUUAGCCUCACUGUCUGGAGAGCAGGCUCCAUCUUGAGAUGGUGGGCAGGUCCGAUGCCCAAACACCCAGGGGGCUUUCCCCAUGGGGCUCUCAAGAGAACCUCAAGGCCACGCCCAGCCAGGCCACCAGGCUCAGAGCACCACACUCCUGGCCCUCAGUGGCCAAGCAGGCCCUGGACAGCUGAUGCCCAGACCCUGCAGAGACACCUGUGUGGCUGUGCCCGGAAACCAGUGGCAAGAGGCCACGCUGGACUCUGAGACAGAGAAAGGGAAGCUCCUGUGGGUGCGGACCCAGCCCGUGUCUCCUCCAGGUCGAUGGGACACUCCUCUUAGAACACUACACCUGGCAGUGCCAGUCACAGAGAGUCCUCCCCCUGGGUACCUGGUGAGGGGUUUUCACAGCAGCUGGGGAGUGGGUGCCUCGCCCCAUCUUACAGCUGACCAAAUGGAGGCUCAAAGCUGGUGGGAGGACCCCUGCCUGCCUUGCAGCCUGGGCCAGCAGGUGGCUGGCAGGACUCACCUAGAAGGCUUUGGCAGAGGGAUGAACUUGGGCACAGCACCUCAAAGCAGAGGAGCCUCUUGCAGCUGUUCACAGUAUUUUGAUAAAAACAUGUUAAACACCUGGUGUGUGUCUAGAUUUUAAAGAGCUGACUCCGCCCCUCCCAGUGUGCACUACAAAGGCCAGAUCCCCCAGAGUUCUGCAUGCACCCUCACCCAGGGGCACAGGCUGGGCUCAGGGCGGGGCUCUCAUUUGAACUGCCCCAGAAGUGCCACCCCACCUCCUCUCCUUUUCAGGCCAAACCACAUGGGGGUGGAGAAGCCCCAUGUCUAGCCCAGCGGCCCAGGAGAAAGCAGGGGUGCAGAGAGGUGGGGCCGUCCUCUCCCAGGGCUCAGUGUGCCCCUGCUGGUCCUGGGGACGCUGGAGUCACUUCAGCCCCACGAUUUCAGAGCCUAGUGUCAUCCCGACCACUACUCACAGCCCUGAGUGCUAGGCUGGGGGAUCUUUUUGACAGGUGGCGGUGACACUGAUAGGGACUUGCUAUCCUGGGUGGUGACCCCCAUGUUCUGCCCAAUGGGCAAAGAAGCUGAAGCUGAGGGACAGGUGAGGGGCCUGCCUGGAGCCCUACGCCGCUGUCUUAGGCAGGACUGACAGGAUGGAUGUCUCUGUGAAGGGGUCUCAUUAGGAGAACUGGCUCACACCAUCACAAGGCAAGUCCACGAUAGGCCAUAUGCAAGCUGCGGAAGAGAGAAGCUGGUAGUGGCUCAGUCCAAGUCCAAAAGCCUCAAAAGCAGGGAGGCCGGCACUGCCCGAGCGCUCCCAGCAAACCACUGGUGCAAAAGUCCCGGAGUCCAGAGGCCGGAGAACCCAGAGUCUGACGUCCAACAGCAGGAAGCAUCCAGCACGGGAGACGGAUGAACACCAGAAGACCCAGCAAACGCAGUCUCCACCACCCUCCACCUGCUUUGUUCCAGCCGUGCAAGCCGCCGGUGGGACUCCCUCUCCCCGUCCACCGACUCAAAUGUCAGUCUCCUCUGGCAACACCCUCGCAGACACUUGACCAGCCCAGCCAUCCAGGCCUCCUUCAAUCCAAUCAAGCUGACACCUCGUAGUCACCAUCACAGUGGCAGGGCAGGGCUCACACCUUCAGCCUCCGUCCUGGCCUGUCUGUGGGGAAGCAGGUCCCUGACAGUCAGGCCUCCCAGCCACCCACCCAGCUUCAUGGUGCUCCCUGCUCAUGGGCCAGGCUGCCCGCCCUGUGUUGUUUAGGGUCUGAUGUGUAGAGCCCUCAUUCCAAGAAAAGCUCGGCCCCUGCUUAGCGAUGUGGCUGUGCUAACUCCACGCUCUCCAGGGGUUCACAUGGGACCUCCUGCGGCAUCGGCCCACUCUGCAUGUGUCCAUCUACAGGGAUUCAUGCAGGUGCCUCAGGAAGGAAAUGACACCACUACACGCCUGCCUGAAUGGCCAGCGUGGAGAGGUCCGGCCACACCGUGUGCUGGAGAACGCGCAGUGCCGUGGGAACUCACGCGAGGCUGGCGGGAAUGCAUCAGGACUCAUCGGGCGCACUGGAGAGACGUUUGGUGAGAAUGUCCCACAGAAACACAUGCUCGCCAUGGGACCCUGCAGCCCGGGUCCAGAGUCACAUGCAUGAAAUAAGGCUAAGUCCAUGAAGAGCCGUGGACAGGCCUUUUCUGAUCAGCUCUGUUCACAGGGACCCUAAGCCAGAAACCGCCCAAGGGUCCAGCAACAGUGAAAUGAUGAAUACAUUGUGGUCCAGCCUCGUGAUGAAACAUCGCCCAUGGAUGCCACAGGAUGGAGGAGAGAUCCAGAGGAAGUUUGAGGGGUGGCUCAGAAACCACAGUAAGGAAGAAAGGAGAUAUCCACACAAGGGGCCUAGGAAUUUGAGCAAAAAAAAACCACUUAGCUUUGAGUCCCCUGGGAGCCAAAGCAAAGAUGGAAUCCCUGUAGGUUACACAGAAACAGAUAACUGUUUAGGAGGGACAGCCUUCCCAGGAGCACAGGCCAGGGUGCGAGGGGCGUGCGUGGCCUUCUGUGGCAGCCAAGGCUCCAGCACAGGAUCUGGGAGCUCAGAAGCCAUUCUUCCCACAUGGGCAGACCCCUGGCCAUCUCCGAUACAUGCAAACUUGAAGGUGCCUGCUGUGGCUCCCCGGGGGACAGCCGGGUUCUGGGCCCAGAUUGCAGUCCUCCUCCUGCCCUUGGCAGCCUGCUGGGUGCCCUCCUCAUGCCCCCACCCAGGUUGCAGUGGGUGGGGAAGAACAGAGCUGGGGCUCAUCCCUCUCCAGUGCCCAACCCUACAACCCUGCUCAGCAACCCCAAGCAAGAGAAGUCACUCCAAAGGCCAGUGUGAUGGCAGAGGGGACCAGAGGCCCUCACCUGGGGAGGAGUCAUUCCAGCAGAAAGAGGCAGGCCCAGUCUCAUUAAAUGACGUGGUAUCUUAGUCUGUUUUCACACUAUUAAUAAAGACAUACCUGAGGCUGGGUACUUUAUAAAGGAAAGAGGUUUAACAGACUCACAGUUCCACAUGGCUGGGGAGGCCUCACAAUCACAGCGGAAGACAAAGGAGGAGCAAAGGGGCCAGGCGCGGUGGCUCACACCUGUAAUCCCAGCACUUUGGGAGGCCAAGGCAGGCGCAUCACUUAAGAUUAGGAGUUCCAAACUAGCUUGGCCAACAUGGUGAAACCCGUCUCUACUAAAAAUACAAAAAUUAGCCAGGGGUGGUGGCACGUGCCUGUAGUCCCAGCUACUCAGGAGGUUGUGCUCCCUGGUGAGGGCCCAGCAUAUACUAGCCAUCCCUGCGGGUGACCUGAAUGUCACCAAGAUCCACAGGAAGAUCAUGCUCUUCCACCCGCGCCUGGAAGUCUUUCCCAGAGACUCAGCUCUAAGGGGACCCACCCACAGCCUGGGAUAUGGAAAGGUUUCCAUGAAGUUUCACUGAGACAAUUAUUAUUUGUUGAUUAAAAAUAAAUAUAUUUUUAAUGUAAAAGUUUACUGAAUUUGGCCAGGGAUGGUGGCUAACACCUGUAAUCUUAGAACUUUGUGAGGCCAAGGUGGGUGGAUCACCUGAGGUCACUUCUAGACCAGCCUGGCCAACAUGGUGAAACCCUAUCUCUAUUAAAAAUGCAAACAUUAGCCGGGCGUGGUGGUGGGUGCCUGUAAUCCCAGUUACUCAGGACGCUGAGGCAGGAGAGUCGCUUGAACCUGGGAGGUAGAGGUUGCAGUGAGCUGAGAUUGCACCACCGCACUCCAGCCUGGGCGACAGAGUGAGACUGUCUUGAGGAAAAAAAAAACUUUACUGAAUUGAAGGAAAAAUGCCAUAGGAAUUCCAGAGAUAUUUACAACAGGAAAGGAGAUGCUUAACCCUGGGGAGUAAUUAAGGUUGGUAGAGUUUAUCUGCUCUGCAAAAUAUUACGCAGCUAUGAACAAUGAGCAGGGUGAGGGUGAGAAGACAAGCCUUAUACAUGCCCAUGCCCACAGUUGCAGAAGACAGCUGGCAGGAAACUGGAGGAAAUCAACAACUGUCUAAGCAUACACUUUUUUUUAAAAGUUCUCUUGGCUACAGCGAUGUUUUUUGUUUUUUUUUUUGAGAUGUAGUCUCACUCUGUCGCCCAGGCUGGAGUACAGUGGUGUGAUCUUGGCUCACUAUAACCUCCGCCUCCUAGUUUCUUGCCCCAGCCUCCUGAGUAGCUAGGAUUACAGGUGCGUGCCACCAUACCCGGCUAAUUUUUUGUAUUUUUAGUAGAGAUGGGGUUUCUUCAUGUUGGCCAGGCUGGUCCCAAACUCUUGACCUCAAGUGAUCCACCUGCCUCAGCCUCCCAAGUGCUGGGAUUCCAGGUGUGAGCCACCACACCCGGCCAGUGCUGUCUUAGUAAUGUGUAUAAUAACCGCCAAGUCUCUAGUUUGGUUGUGGCGCCAUUCCACAGAGGUACUGAGGAGGCUGAAAGGUCAAGGGUGUCCUGCAGCCCCGCCAGACUCAACGAGGGCCUGGUGCUGAACGGCCAUGGGAGGGACGAUCCAGGCAGCCCUGGCCCUGGGCAGUGCAGGCAUGGCAAAAGCCACCUGCUCCAUAGACCAUAUCAGUAAAUUAUGGAGUGAGGGACAGCCCUGGUCAGCCUAGGGAGGCCCUGGAGCCGGUGAAACCUCCUGCUUCAAACACACAUGACGUGGAGACCGCCCAGGGCUCGUCCUCGCCCCAGACCCUCUGCUCAGCCACGGCCACUGGGAACGUUGUGUUUGGGUCCCAAGACCACCACCCUCUGGACAGGGUGUCCCGGGGGUCUGUCCAGCAGGUCCACGGUCGCGCCUCACUCAGGGCCACUUGGGGAAGACCUCGAGUCACCCCCGUGAGAGGAGGACAUGGGAGGAAAGCUCAGGUCAUGUGGCCAGCACACGGGGGCUGGGAUGAGGAGCCCAGUGUGACUCCAAUGCUGGAAACAACUGCAGGGAAAGAAGAGUG